CACCAGGUCAGGACACGGUAAGGAUUGACGGACUGAAGGCUCUUUCUCGAUUCCGUGGAAAGUGGUGCAUGGCCGUUUUGGUUGGUGGAUCGAUCCGUCUGGUUAAUUCCGUUAACGAACGAGACCUCGGCACUCCGAAUAGCGCGGCGGACGUCGCGGCCUCCGGGCCGUCUUCCGCACGAGCUUCUUAGAGGGACCGUCCCCCGCCGGGGAAGGAGGUGCGAGGCAACGACAGGUCUGUGAUGCCCUUAGAUGUUCUGGGCCGCACGCGCAUUACACUGACGCGUCCAACGGGUGACUCCCGACCCGAAGGGGCCGGGGAAUCCGCAAGGCGCGUCGUGAUGGGGAUUGAACGUUGCAAUUGUUGUUCACGAACGAGGAAUUCCUAGUAGGCGCGGGUCAUCAACCCGCGCCGAUUACGUCCCU
rnacentral:rRNA from 1 species